UACGGGGGGGGGCAAGCGUUGUUCGGAAUUACUGGGCGUAAAGGGCGCGUAGGCGGCCUGCUAAGUCGGACGUGAAAUCCCUCGGCUCAACCGAGGAACUGCGUCCGAUACUGGUGGGCUUGAAUCCGGGAGAGGGAUGUGGAAUUCCAGGUGUAGCGGUGAAAUGCGUAGAUAUCUGGAGGAACACCGGUGGCGAAGGCGGCAUCCUGGACCGGUAGUUGACGCUGAGGCGCGAAAGCUAGGGGAGCAAACGGG
rnacentral:rRNA from 1 species